rnacentral:rRNA from 1 species
GAUGAACGCUGGCGGCGUGCCUAAUACAUGCAAGUCGAGCGAACAGACGAGGAGCUUGCUCCUCUGACGUUAGCGGCGGACGGGUGAGUAACACGUGGAGAACCUACCUAUAAGACUGGGAUAACUUCGGGAAACCGGAGCUAAUACCGGAUAAUAUAUUGAACCGCAUGGUUCAAUAGUUAAAGACGGUUUUGCUUUCACUUAUAGAUGGAUCCAGGCCGCAUUAGCUAGUUUGUAAGGUAACGGCUUACCAAGGCAACGAUGCGUAGCCGACCUGAGAGGGUGAUCGGCCACACUGGAACUGAGACACGGUCCAGACUCCUACGGGAGGCAGCAGUAGGGAAUCUUGCGCAAUGGGCGAAAGCCUGACGGAGCAACGCCGCGUGAGUGAUGAAGGUCUUCGGAUCGUAAAACUCUGUCAUUAGGGAAGAACAAAUGUGUAAGUAACUAUGCACGUCUUGACGGUACCCAAUCAGAAAGCCACGGCUAACUACGUG